AGAAAGUGUGUGCUAGAGCAGAGAGGGA
rnacentral:piRNA from 1 species